GUGGCUUGGGAGGCUGAGGCAGGAAGAUCUUGAGUUCAAAACCAACCUCAGCAAUUUAGCAAGGGCCUAAGUAACUCAACAAGAUCCUAUCUCUAUCUAAAAUAUAAAAUGCGCUAUGGAUGUGGCUCAGGGUUAAGCACCCCUGGACUCAAUCCCUGGUACCAAAAAAAAAAAAAGGAAAAAAGAAUGAAAGAAAAAGUGAAAAAAUAAGCCACAGAAUGGGAGAAAAUAUUUACAAACAUAUGUCUGUACCUAAAAUAUACAAAGAACUUUUACAACUCAAUAAUAUAAAAAGACAAAUAUCCCAAAUAAAAAAUGGGCAAGGGAUACAGACAGACAUUUAUUCAAAGAAGAUAUAUACAUGGUCAGUAAACACAUUAAAAGAUAUUCAACAUUGUUAAUCAUCAGGGAAAUGAAAGUGAAAUCCACAAUAGGAUACGACUUAAACCCACUAGGAUAGUUAAAAUAAUAAUAAAAAAAGGGUCUGUAAGAAUGUAGAGAAACUGUAUCCUUCAUACUGAUGGUGGGAAUAUAAUAUGGUGCAGCUGCUUUGGAAAACAUUCUGGGAGUUCUCUAAAAGACUAACAUAUCAUCUGAGUCAGUAAUUCUACUCUUAAGUGUAUGCUCAAGAAGACUGAAAACUUAGGUCUACAUAAAAAUUUGUACACAAAUCAUAGUUACAUUAUUUAUGAUAGUCAAAAAGUGAAACAACUCUAAUGACUCAACAACACAAACUGAUGAAUGGGUAAAUAAAUUGUUAUAUCUAUAUAGUGGAAUAUUAGCUAAAAAUUAGAAUUAAGCACUGAUUCAUGCUCUAGUAAUGAAACUUGAAAAUAUUCUAAGUGAAUGAAGACAAAAAUUCUAUUUACAUCAAAACUCAGAAUAAGUAAAUCUAUGAAGACAAAAGUAGACUAGUGGUUCCCUAGGCUUGGGUGCAAGAUUUCUUUUAGGCGUGAUGAAAAUAUUCUAAAAUAGAUGUGAUGGUUGUACAACUCUGAAUAUAAUAAAAGCCAUUGAAAUAAAUAAUGAUCAUAAAGGUAGGUGAACUGUGUG
rnacentral:lncRNA from 1 species